rnacentral:rRNA from 1 species
UGUUUCGGCAAGGGGGUCAUCCCGACUUACCAACCCGAUGCAAACUGCGAAUACCGGAGAAUGUUAUCACGGGAGACACACGGCGGGUGCUAACGUCCGUCGUGAAGAGGGAAACAACCCAGACCGCCAGCUAAGGUCCCAAAGUCAUGGUUAAGUGGGAAACGAUGUGGGAAGGCCCAGACAGCCAGGAUGUUGGCUUAGAAGCAGCCAUCAUUUAAAGAAAGCGUAAUAGCUCACUGGUCGAGUCGGCCUGCGCGGAAGAUGUAACGGGGCUAAACCAUGCACCGAAGCUGCGGCAGCGACGCUUAUGCGUUGUUGGGUAGGGGAGCGUUCUGUAAGCCUGUGAAGGUGUGCUGUGAGGCAUGCUGGAGGUAUCAGAAGUGCGAAUGCUGACAUAAGUAACGAUAAAGCGGGUGAAAAGCCCGCUCGCCGGAAGACCAAGGGUUCCUGUCCAACGUUAAUCGGGGCAGGGUGAGUCGACCCCUAAGGCGAGGCCGAAAGGCGUAGUCGAUGGGAAACAGGUUAAUAUUCCUGUACUUGGUGUUACUGCGAAGGGGGGACGGAGAAGGCUAUGUUGGCCGGGCGACGGUUGUCCCGGUUUAAGCGUGUAGGCUGGUUUUCCAGGCAAAUCCGGAAAAUCAAGGCUGAGGCGUGAUGACGAGGCACUACGGUGCUGAAGCAACAAAUGCCCUGCUUCCAGGAAAAGCCUCUAAGCAUCAGGUAACAUCAAAUCGUACCCCAAACCGACACAGGUGGUCAGGUAGAGAAUACCAAGGCGCUUGAGAGAACUCGGGUGAAGGAACUAGGCAAAAUGGUGCCGUAACUUCGGGAGAAGGCACGCUGAUAUGUAGGUGAAGCGACUUGCUCGUGGAGCUGAAAUCAGUCGAAGAUACCAGCUGGCUGCAACUGUUUAUUAAAAACACAGCACUGUGCAAACACGAAAGUGGACGUAUACGGUGUGACGCCUGCCCGGUGCCGGAAGGUUAAUUGAUGGGGUCAGCGCAAGCGAAGCUCUUGAUCGAAGCCCCGGUAAACGGCGGCCGUAACUAUAACGGUCCUAAGGUAGCGAAAUUCCUUGUCGGGUAAGUUCCGACCUGCACGAAUGGCGUAAUGAUGGCCAGGCUGUCUCCACCCGAGACUCAGUGAAAUUGAACUCGCUGUGAAGAUGCAGUGUACCCGCGGCAAGACGGAAAGACCCCGUGAACCUUUACUAUAGCUUGACACUGAACAUUGAGCCUUGAUGUGUAGGAUAGGUGGGAGGCUUUGAAGUGUGGACGCCAGUCUGCAUGGAGCCGACCUUGAAAUACCACCCUUUAAUGUUUGAUGUUCUAACGUUG